rnacentral:pre_miRNA from 1 species
AAGAGCUUAAGGAAGUGAUGGGAGAUGGGUGGGUUGGUAAAACAUAAGAGAAUGAAUAUUUCUCACUCUGUUUUGCCGAUUCCACCCAUUCCUAUGAUUUCCUUUGCUUCCUCUCUUUCCACUCU